GAUUAUGGCUCAGAGUUAACGCUGGCGGCGUGCCUAACACAUGCAAGUCGAGCGAACUCUACAGAGUAUCGUAAGAGUUAGCGGCAAACGGGUGAGUAACACAUGGGAAACCACCCUUAGAAUGGGGAAUAUCUCCGUGAAAAACGGAGCUAAUACCGCAUAAGACCACAGUUUGGCAUCAAACAGGGGUAAAAGCAGCAAUGCGUUCUAAGAUGGUCCUGUGUCCUAUCAGCUAGUUGGUGGGGUAACGGCCUACCAAGGCAAAGACGGGUAUCCGGCCUGAAAGGGUGAACGGACACACUGGAACUGAGACACGGUCCAGACUCCUACGGGAGGCAGCAGUGGGGAAUUUUGGAACCAAUGGGGGAAACCCUGAUCCAGCGACGCCGCGUGGAGGACGAAGGUUUUCGGAUUGUAAACUCCUUUUGGAGGGGACGAAUAAAUUGACGGUACCCUCAGAAAAAGCCACGGCUAACUUCGUGCCAGCCGCCGC
rnacentral:rRNA from 1 species